rnacentral:misc_RNA from 1 species
AAGUCGUAACAAGGUCUCCGUUGGUGAACCAGCGGAGGGAUCAUUACCGAGUACUACACUCAUAACCCUUUGUGAACCUUUAUACCUGUUGCUUCGGCGGCGCGCCUCCCGGGGCGUGCCCGCCGGCAUUAUCAGAAUCUCUGUUCGAACCCGACGAUACAUCUGAGUGUUCUAAGCGAACUGUUAAAACUUUCAACAACGGAUCUCUUGGCUCCA